rnacentral:rRNA from 1 species
GACGAACGCUGGCGGCGUGCCUAAUGCAUGCAAGUCGCACGCACCCUUCGGGGAGAGUGGCGCCCGGCUGAGGAACACGUGGGAAUGUGCCCUUUGGUGGGGGAUAACAGCGCGAAAGCGGUGCUAAUCCCGCCUACCGUCCCCUUCGGGGGAAGAACGCUUUACAGCGACGAAGGAGCAGCCCGCGGCCCAUCAGGUCGUGGGUGGGGUAAUGGCCUACCAAGCCGACGACGGGUAGCUGGUCUGAGAGGACAGACAGCCAGACUGGGACUGAGACACGGCCCAGACUCCUACGGGAGGCAGCAGCAAGGAAUUUUCGUCAAUGGGCGCAAGCCUGAACGAGCAACGCCGCGUGGGGGAUGACGGCCUUCGGGUUGUAAACCCCUUUUUGGGGGGACGAUAAUGACGGUACCCCCGGAAUAAGCCCCGGCUAACUCUGUGCCAGCAGCCGCCGUAAGAC